rnacentral:misc_RNA from 1 species
AAGAAAUUGAUAAAGAAGGACAUCUUCGUUAUGGCUGCAGCAGUUCGAAAAUCGUAUGUUUUUAUAAUCUUUCUUUGCAGACCAGUAACGUGUCAAAUUACUGGACCUACCAAGCUUAACUACUUCGUAGGUGAGAACGCACAGUUCAGAUGGAAUACCGCCAGCAAUUCAACACUUCUGUCAGCAACAUGGGGAAUACAAAAAGGCAACAUUGCUGAUCCUCAGUUUAUAAAUGUAGACGUAACGAGCAGUAAGGUGAACCUCAACUCAGGUUUGAAACCAGAUCUCGUUAAACGGCUAAAAUUUGACGGUGACCUCAAGACAGGUCGUGCAUGGUUUACUCUAAUGAACGUCACGGUCGAAGAUACAAACGUCUACCUCGCAAGUAUCAGUGACGAUGUUACCAGAGUCCUGCCUUACACAGCUGCAUUGCACGUAAAUGUAAAAGAACGAGAGCACAGUGACCUAACGGUAAAGGAGGCAGUGUAUUCUAAUGUUCAUAAACCAAGUGUGUCCGUUGCAGUUCUGGUUGAAGAGUUGGUUCUCUUGGCAUUGGCAACUGCUAACUAGCUGACACUGGAAACAUGUUUUGAAAUGAAGCCUUAGUGAAGAGAAGAGGCACGACAUCAAGCAAAACUAAGCUAAUUGUACAAUACUGAUAGGUGUCAAUAUGUAGGUAGUAACGCAAACCCACAGAACACUUGAAUCACGUUAUACAACCUAUAAAGAAUAUAUCCGAUGCCUUGAUUCAGUCUAUGAGCUGAUCCAUAGGUCAGGAAAUGCAAACCUAACUCAUAGAUUAAAUGAAGUUUAACGUGUUUUGUGCAGGUAUAAGAAAAUGGAAGAGGUUAGAGAAACUUUACAACUCAAGGAAGAGAUUUAACAAACUCUACUUAUACAAGAAGCUAGUCUGAUAAUCAAAUCCAAGACCCCAUGCAGAAGUGAGGAAAAGAGUCAGAGAAAACAAGCGACGUCUCUUUUCAGUUACUUGCCUUGGUGCUUAGAGUUUUUGUGUGGUAAAUAAAAUAGACUCUGCCUUUAUCGAUCAUAUCGGCAAUGUCGGCCACAUGGGACACAUGGGCCACGCCAUCGUACACACUAUUGCUUGGAACAAAAGCAUUAAACCGUAGGAGAACGAGAUGCAUCAGCUGUCGACCUUAUAGCUACACGUGGCAAGCUAUAUACAUUAACACACUCAUCUUACGUCUUUAUGAAUUAUAUACUUACAAAGUCUCGAACAAUGCGGACCAUGUGGACCGAAAAGUAAACGGUAAGUGUGGAUCUACGUAAUUCUUACUAAAUGAAUUCUCAAAAAUGACCAAAUGAUUCGACGAUCGAACCGAAAAUAAUAACUUGCAACGAAAAAAUGAAUUAAAAAACGCGAUUGGUCAAUGUGAUUUCGGUACCGAGAAGAUAGGCAAAUUCCAGGAAUCAAGCCUAAGCUCAAGCCCAUUUAGGUUUAGGUUUGGCUUCCGCUUUAAGCAAACAUCUGCCGUUUCGAUCUUCUAGAACGAUGAAUCAAGUGCUGAGUUAUAACAAAUUCCACAAUAACUUUAUAUUUGGAUUCCUAAUAAUCUUAAAUAUACCUAGAGCAGUCAAAGAGUUUUUAGGGCAAAUUAUAUGACGUAGCUGAAGCUAGACACAAAACAAAAUGAAGCCAUGGCCAAAUGCUGAAAGGAAUCGAUGAGUUGCAGUUGCAUAAGUGGACCUAGAAAUGUAGAACUUANUGAAGGAGNCAGUGCUGAAUUNAUGUGGAACAAUACCUGUGGAAANAGNAUNAUCUCAGCAACGUUUGGUAUCCUCAAAGGAAACAUAGCUGACCCACAACUAAUAAAUGUGGAUAUUAUCAAUCGAAAGAUAUAUUUUAAUAAUGAAAUGGGACCAAAAUACAAAGGAAGAGUUAAUUUUACUGGUAAUUUAGCAUUAGGGCAUGCUUGGUUCAAACUCCAAAACUUGACAAUCGGUGACUGCAAUUGGUACAUCGCAAGUAUCAGUGAUAAGAUCACCAGAGUUCUACCAUAUUCUGUACUUUUAAAAAUAAUACCAAAAGAAAAUGAAAACGCUACAGCUCCGACGACUACGUCGAACGCAAGUAGUUCCACAAGCAACAAGAAUGCUAGUUAUGCCGCUUCUUCAACACCUUCAAUCUACACAGGUGCAAAAAAGUCAACGUCCACAAGAAACAAGAUAUCCAUUGUCCUCCUUAUUUUGAUAAUCACGUUAAUAUGAAUUCAUUAUUGUGCAAGGUUAGAGUGUCUUAA